CCUACGGGAGGCAGCAGUGGGGAAUAUUGCGCAAUGGGGGAAAGCCUGACGCAGCGACGCCGCGUGAGGGAUGAAGGUCUUCGGAUCGUAAAGCUCUGUCAGCAGGGAAGAACGUGCACGGUGCUAAUCAGCAGUGACUUGACGGUACCUGCAAAGGAAGCACCGGCUAACUCCGUGCCAGCAGCCGCUGUAAUACGGAGGGGGCGAGCGUUAGUCGGAAUUACUGGGCGAAAAGCGCUCGUAGGCGGUAGGUCAAGUCAAGGGUGAAAUCCCCGCGCUCAACGUGGGAACUGCCUUUGAAACUGGCAAACUUGAGUGUGUGAGAGGAUAGUGGAAUUCCAGGUGUAGGGGUGAAAUCCGUAGAUAUCUGGAGGAACAUCAGUGGCGAAGGCGACUAUCUGGCACAUAACUGACGCUGAGGAGCGAAAGCGUGGGUAGCAAACAGGAUUAGAUACCCCGGUAGUC
rnacentral:rRNA from 1 species